rnacentral:lncRNA from 10 species
AAAGCCUGUUUGGUGGUCUCUUCACACGGACGCGCAUGAAAUUUGGUGCUGUGACUCGGAUUGGGGGACCUCCCUUGGGAGAUCAAUCCCCUGUCCUCCUGUUCUUUGCUCCAUGAGAAAGAUCCACCUACGACCUCAGGUCCUCAGACCGACCAGCCCAAGAAACAUCUCACCAAUUUCAAAUCCGAUCUUCUCGGCUUAGCGGCUGAAGACUGACACCGGCCGAUCGCCUCGGAAGCCCCCUAGACCAUCACGGAUGCCGAGCUUCGGGUAACUCUAACAGUGGAAGAGGCCAGGCUAACAGGGACUGCUGAUGGGGAAAUAAAGAAAUAAUCAAGGAUGAAUCCUAUAUCUGGGGCUUGAGCAAAGAGUCUAUCAUCUACGUAGAACUGAAGAUGACAGAAGACACCAAAGGAGGACGGGGGCUUCCAGGAAGAGCCAGUAAGAUGUGCUGAGUAGGAAGAUGUGAAGAAAAUUGUUGAACAUGUCUGACAAUAGAAGACCUAAGGCCUAAGAAGUCCAUUUCAAUGAAUCACAAAAGAAAUCAAAGAACAGAAUUUCUCUCUUUUGAAGAGAGAAUAAUUGCUUUAUUAAGU